UUUCCGUGUCUUCUGUGCUCCUCACGGCUGAAGGAAAGACACCAACCGGUCACCCUGUUGUGGCCAUGGUGUUUGGAGCUGCUGGCGGCUGGCAGCCUUGCAGCUGUGAGAUCUGUGCGACGCUGGUUUCUCCCUCACAUCCCUCUCUAGAAAAUCUGUGUUCCCGGUUCAUGUAAAGAAUGCAGGGCAGUGUACUACACAUAUUUCAGGUGUGCAAUUUGAACAGGAAUCAUACCAUAAUAAAGGUUAAAAAAAAAAAAAAAGAAGAAGAAUGCAGAGCAGAUCUGAGCUCAGCUUAAUUUCAAAAAGGCAAAGGCAACUGUCCUCAGCAAGAAUGAAUGACUCACUUCUUUAACCAUCAGAAACGAAACGUCCAGCUUCACAAUUCGAUCCCACCAGCUGAACGUGGAGGAGGAUGUGUGCUCCUUUUGUUUCAAAAAGGCACUGUUGCAACCAUUUCCUUGCACCCCCACGCCUGCAACUCCUCACCCAGGCGUUCUUUUCACUUUGGACGGUGGACGGUUUGUAAGUGUGUCUAAAGAAAUAGGAACAACCAGAUAACCUGUAUUUGCAGAGGAUGCUAGAAAUGGUGAUCACAACCAAUUAGGACAAAAGGGAGAGGUUGCCAAGAAUCUUUGGUUGAUAAACAAGCACAAACAUUGUGACAGUCUGUAACAUAUGCCUUAGGACUGUAUCUGUUUAGAAGAAGCUAGCUUCACCGUGACUAAUGUUUCAAACCACAGCAGAACUUGUCUCUGGCGAGGUUAAUGGAACAGAAUAGAGAGCCCAGAAAUGAACUCACCCAGGUAUCUUAUCAGCCAGAAUUCCACCCAGCAAGCAAACAGGGCAUUCCUCAUUGUCUGGAGAACAUCAGUAUGCACAUUUCCCACUGAUGAGCACCUAAUUAGAGCUAAUGAAGUGCUCUCCUUGUAAGCAAUCCUGUUGUGAGAUAGACCAUCGGAUGACUCAACACAGCUGUCUCAUUUUAGGCAACCCACGUUUAAUUUCUCUCGUGGCAUUUCACACUUAAGCCUUGGCAGAGAAGAUUCAGGACCAGAGUCAAAUUUUAAACAAAAUUUGAUGGACGCCUUUUGGGCUCUUUGAGCAUUAGAGUUGGAGAUAACAAACUCAGUUCUCUCAGCCUGCAAGACCUUUCGGUAGCCAAUCGAGUUCCAAGGAAGAUUUGGCCCCAAAGUUUAAGAAGAUGGCAACUCAUUCAUCCAUUAAUAUUCAUGAGUAUUAAUAGAGUGGUCUUAGUGGUGACAUGUCUCCUAAAAGAGAGAUAAUUUCUUGAGUUUGAUUACGCUCUGCCUUUUCUAAACUCACAUUUUUCCGGGAGACAUAGUGUUUAUCGCUGCUGCCAAAAAUAGCGGAACAUCGUGGUGGAUGGCGGGGAGCACGCCUGGUCCAAGGGAGUUACGAGCAGUUUAACAAGCACUUGUGUGUAGAAGUCUGAGCGUCUGUUGGGUCCUUCCUGUACUUUCUGUCUCAUCUUCCACUCUCUCUUAGAUGGAGAUACAUAUUGCCAGGUCACACUGAGAAGGACAACGAACGUUUCUGGUUUCCAUUUUCUCCACAGUGCUUUUUAUAUGGAGCCCCCCAUGCCCUUGCAGUGCACUGUGCGUGUUUUUCUAUCCCAGUGCCCUGAGACGAAAGGAUUCCUUUCCUCCCAACUACGAGGACAGCGUCUUCUUCGCGGUAAGGACCAAAGCUGUUUCUCUCGUGUGGAUAAAGCCUGAUACAGUUUUGCUGCUUUUUCAGCGACUCAAUGAAUGUUUCUGUUGAUUCCAAAUCAGUGAAAUUCCUGGUAAGCGUGGACAGAUGCGUCACCACAGCCUGACUACCCAAGAUGUCAGUAGGUGAUUUGACUUCCAUUCAGUCCUGGUAAGGUGGGUCGCAAGGAACAGCAUCGACCUACUGCUUAUAAAAUCAAGAGGGGCUUCCCAAGAUGGGAGUGGGGGUCACAAAAACAGUGAGAAGUGCCCCCCCCCAAAUCACGGAUGCUCCAGAGUUCUCAUCCAGGGGACACGUCUGCAGUUGCUUUCUCUAAACCAUCCCUUAAGAUUCCUUCCAGCCUCAUGCUUCCAUCUCCAUCGGAAUAAUGAGCUGGAAUAAUGAGCUGGAACAGAAAGCUGAACCCUCUCCCUCCAGAGCCUCCCAGCGCUGCGUGCUCGCACAAGCUCAGAGGCAUGUAAACAAGACAGUCAACAUCCUAAAAUCUGCUGCCAAGCCUAAGAGAUAAAUCAUCCUCCAACGGAGCCCACAUGCACUCAUCGGCCAAUUAAACUUUAUCUUGCAUUUCUUCCGCCGCCAGAUGGGUUUUGGUAGCAAUGAAGGAUGAGGUCCUCCAGGGGUCGUUCUUGGGAGGGGACUUCGAGAGUGUUCUCGAGGCUGAGAGCAGAGGGGGGACCAUCUCUUGGAAUUGAGAUGGAGAGGAGUGCUGUUGGAACAGGACAUUCUUUGGGAGGGGGGCCAUGAUGGAUUUCAACGCUUAGAUGAACAGACUUUCUACCGGAACAGACUCCCUUGGGUUUUACCAGGUAGAUGGGGAUGCCUCGCUCGUCUGUCUCUGUUUCUCAUCCAUCACGUCUCACCUGCCCCAGCCUGCUCCCACGACUCCACUAUAAUGGUGCCGGCGGAGGGUCCCCUUACUGAAACAUCUGUAAAUACAACGUACCUUUUCCAGUCCUCUUCUUCCUGAUCUUACAGCAGCCACAGGUGCUUCUUGAAACACCCAUACUCCUUGCUUUCAUCAUGGUUAUGGGCUGAACCUUGCCCCUCCGAAAUCCACAUGUUGACGUCCUCAACCCCAAGACUUCAGAAUGUCACUGUAUUUUGUAGAUAGAGUCUGGAUAUUUGGCUCAUCUGGGUACAUGUGGGAUAAACAAAGUGUUUCUUGUAACUAACCCGACACUUGGGCUCAAAGGUCAACAGAGGCUCCGUGAAACAUUUGCAAAGUUGGGGGGUUGGGGAGGGGGGAACUUGGGGUUGGACUUCCUUUGGCCAUCCAUUUCAAUUCUCUGAUUCCAUUUUCUGCCUAUUACCAAAUCCACUGGUUUUUUGGUUUUUUUUUUUUUUUUUUUUUUUUCAGUCUUCCUCCUUUUUUAACUUGGGUGAGUUUUUGUGAGACUUACCAAUGAAAUCCACCUGGAAGCUGCCCUUCUGUUAGAAUAAUGACCGUACCUUUGAACACUCCUCAUCACUCUGCUUUGCUCCAUUUCUCUGUGCCUCAUUUCCCUGCACGGAAGACGCAUCCUUGCCCUCAGUCUUCUUUUUCCAUUUCUCCCCAAAUGGGCUGAUUCACAGUGUGUCCCUCCAAAAUGACUUCAUUAUCACAUCUGUCAGGAGAACCUUCAAUACAAAUCUGCCGUCCAAACCAUCUUUCGUAAACACAGCCCUGCAUGUAUAAAUGAUUAUUUGCCAGGAGUCAUGUGAUGGAUGAUCAAAAGAGAAUUUUUUAAAAAGUGGAACAAACCCAUUAAUUUCAUUCACAACUUGGAUCCUUUUCAGAAGGGAAGAUAAUGGAGUGUUCCAUGACAGAAAUGGGGUAUAAAACUCUGUAUGAUGAAAAACGCAUAUUCCUAAACAUGGAUCUCCUAAACGUAGAAGAAUGUGUGGCAAAAUAUAAACAGUUCAUCAUUUGGCUGUGAGUUCAUGAGUAAAUGAAUUUUUUUAAAAAAAAGAGUAGCUUUUGCAAGAUACAAUUCACACACCAAAAAAUUCACCCAUCGAAAGUGUAUAAAUCAGUGUUUUUUUUUAAUAUAUUCACAGAGCUGCCAAAUUACUAUUCCAGUCAACGUUAGGACAUUUUCAACACCCUAAGAAGAAGUCCAUUAAUUGUCACUGCCCUGCCUCCCCGAACGCUCCCAGCCCCUGGCAACCGCCAGUUUACAUUCUGUCUCGGUGGACUCGUGUGACGUGCGCUGUAAUGUGUGUUUUGCUUUUCCAAGUAGUCUACAAUGUGGACAUAUUCCUUUCAUGAUCAUUAAAAAAAAAAAAGCAUCAAAGUUUCCUUCCUUCAACUUUUUAGUCUUAGUCUCAUUUUCUGAGUAAUGCUGACACGGUUGCCUUUAAAUUGGAAGAGGCUGACCCUUCCCGAACUUUGAUUUCAUGCAGGUCUGUGUCCAGUAGGUGACUUGGGCUGCCCUUGACUGCGGCUCCUGGAAGCAUUUGCUCACACAGCUAGAUCCCCAGUCCUCUGGACAACUGUACAAGCAGCGGCAGAAAAAAUAGCAGCUCACACUCACAGCUGCCUUCAUUAGCAGGAAACUUAGACAUUUGCUCGAUCUGUGGCCAGCGACCCUGAUCUUCCCCCGAAAUGUGGCCAAGGGCUCGGCACCACCUGGAUGACGAUGUUUCAAUCCUGGUUACUGACUGUGAGUGUCUAGCAAUCCCUCUAUAAAUGCUAUUUCCAAUACCAUGCAGUUAAACACACCAGCAUACACCAAAAACACAAAAUAAAUUCCGUGAGAGCCUCUCCAAACACACUGACCUCUGCGAGGCCGUCUGAUCUCAUGUUCAGCUCCGAUGCUGAGAAAACCAGAACGAAACUGAAGACCCGUGUUCCUGCUGAGAACCACAGCCACAAAAAAGAGGAGGAAGUCAUGGAAUUGGGGACGAUGGCUUUGCAGCUGUCUGGUUGUGAUCUGGAGCUCAGGGGAAAUCUGAUGCCGUGUUUGUUGUGUGUGUAUAUAUAUUCACGUAGCGUAUCACGGGUGGCACAUUUUGAGCCCACGGUGAAAUUAACACAAGACUAGUGAUGCCAUUAAUUUAGACAUUCUCUUGCUGUGCCUAAUUUAUAAAUUAAACUUUAUCGUAGGUGUAUAUGCAUCCAUAUAUAGGGUUUGUUACUAUUCAUGGUUAUAGGCAUCUUGAAAUGUGUGCUCCAAGGAUAAGGAGGGACCACAGAAUUAAAGUGAUGUAUUAGAAGUCAAGGAACACCUGGAGCUAUCAGAAGGUGGAAGAUGCAUGGAAGGACCCACGUAUAGAGCCUCUGAAUGGAGUGUCAUCCAGCUCACACUUUGAUCUUGGGUGUCUGGACUUCAGGAAUGUGAAAGGAUGCAUUUUCUGUUGUUUUUCCACCCAGACGGUGGUACUUUUAUAUGACUGCCUUAGGAAAGUCAUACAGACAGGAAAGUGAAUAAGAUUCCUUAACCAUUGAAUGCAGGACACACAAGAGAAGAAUAAAUACUGACUCCAAAGGUUUGGGCAGAGAUGGAGAGGGUUACAGAGAAGGUCAAGUGUCCAGCACUGGGCUUGCCGAACAAAAUGCCCAUGAACUCGGAUGUUAAUCACUUAUCCACGAAGCAUCGAAGUGCAGGUGCUGAGGAGCCAGUUGGAUAAUGUGAGUCUGGAGCAAAGAUACUGAUGUAAAUUUGAGGGUUGUUGGCAGAUGAAAGUAUAUAAAGAUGGAAGGUGCAUCGGCCACCCAAGGAAUAACAAAGAUAUUUACAUUUUGUAAAUUGCUACAGCACACAACUAUCCUAUUUUGGAAAACGCUCAGGCGCAACUCUGGGACCACACUUUCCCUCCUUUGCUAUUCCUUGCAUGACCGAUACACCAGAAAUGCGCACAACGUUGUAAAUCAACCGUAAUUCCAUUUUCUAAAAAAAGAAAUACGUAUUUGCUCUUCCCCGGGUCCUGGUAUAGAGCUGCUGAAACCCUUGGAAUUUCCUGUGAGGGCAACCAGAAUGGCGUCUUUUGUUAUAUCAAUGAGGUGACCUUUGGGAAGCACGUAAGGAUGGGGGCUGGUUGCUGGGGGAACCAACCACGUACUGAGGGAAAGGGCAGUCCCUUUUUUCAGCACUCUGAUCACAGGUUCCAGCAGAAUGCUUGGCUUAGGGCUUAUAUUAGCCACUGCUGGGUAAUAAGUCAUCACACGCUCAAAAGCCUUCAAACAAACAAACAAACAAAAACCACACGUCUACUAUCUCAUGGCUUCUGUGGGUCAGGAAUGUGGGCACAGCUUAACCGGGUCCUCUGAUGAGGCUUUCACAGAGCCAGAAGCAAGUGCGCCCAGGGCUGGGGGCUCAUCUGAAGGACUUCCCACUAGGGAAGGAUCCGCCUCCAAGCUCAUGCAUGCAGCUGUUGGCAGGAUUCACUUCCUUAAGGGUUGUUGGACUGACGACCUACUUUCCUGGCUGGCUAUCUGUCGUUCCCUGCCAUGUGGACGUCCCCGUAGGGCAGCUCUCAAAGUCAACAGGUUUCAUCAAAGCCAACGACAGUGGGCAUCCAUACAGAGAAUCUGCUUGUAAGACGGAAGCCACUGUCUUAACGUCAUUUGAUCACCGAAGUGACAUCUCAUCACCUCUGUCCUAUUCUCUUGGUUAGAAGCAAAAUACAGGUCCCACCCACGUGCAGGGGGAGCAGAUUAUCCAGAGACUUGACUCUCCAGAGAAGAGCAUGAUUGGAACCAUUUAGAGCCUGACUCCCACCUGGAGGAGCCAUAAUACAUGUUUCUUGGGAGAAAAAUAAUAAUCGUUGCUGGAUGCAGAGCAAACAGAGAACCCAGCCUUUUGAGCGGGUGGCCAGGGUCUGUUGUCAGCUUCUGUCCUGAGAGUGAGAGCUGGUGAGGGGACUGAACCCCCAGGACACCGGGCAGGCGGGUGGCGGGGAGGGAGACCACAUUACAAAUGCACACAGCACCAAGCCCUGCCUGCCCUCCGUUGUUCUGAGAACCAGUCUGCUUUGCCUUCUAAUCCAGCCUGCCCCAUUCCUUCAUGAUUUCUCAAAGGAAAUUAAAAAUGUGUUCGGUUUUGGAGUUGGCCUUUUGAAAGCUGUCCCGUGAUUGUGCUUCCAUGCACCACAACAAAAGCAGACUUUACGGGGUUUCUUUCCCAACCUUUGUUACAUUUUAAACUGCUAAGAGACCCAGUAAGACAUCCCCGCACCCCCUCCUGAGUGGGGCUCCCAACGCAGAAACAAACUUGAACUGUCGGAGGCACUUUAGAAGUUGUUUGUUCAGCUGAAGAAGAAACACAGCUUCAGUGAACUUCAAAAACAACAGGGCUAAAAUCCUCCCGUACCCUUGGCAUAAAUUAAUUACCCUCUAUUUUCCAAGCUGCGUAGGGAUAGAAGUCAACAGCAGUGCACUCUAGAAACAAAAUUGUGGACUUGUCAUUUGAACAUAAGACCCAAGAAACGUUACCCCAAAGGGCUGAACGUUUCCAGGACCUCUCAUGAGAGUUUUACUUGGAUAUACUGUCAUUUUCUUCUUUAUGUGGCUCAAAACGGAUUUGCCUUUGUCUAAGGUUUGCAGAAGGACUGUUUGCAUUUGGAGCCAGAUCAUUCUCUGCAAUGGGGAUUGUAAGCUGCCUGGCAGUGUCCCUGGCUUCUACACACUGGAUUCCUGCAGAAUCAUUCAUUUGUGAAAAACCCAAAAUAUUCCCAGACAUUGCCAAAUGUCCCUUGGGGGAACAGAAUCACUAUGGAUUGAGAAUCACUGAUAAUUCGUGGAAGACAGGGAGAAAAAAUUCCCCCAGACUUUAAUUUUGGGUACUAAGAACCAUAUAACAUGUCCCAGUAUCACUCUGUCUGGUUAGCACCCUUGGCCUACGUCAUUACCAGCACCAACAUUUGCUAACAAAGCGGGUCUAGGUUUCACUCCCCUUGACUUCAGCAAGAUUCAAGGUAUGGUGUUUUAUCUCUCCUAAAAUGAGCCAUAGCCGAGCGCACUUUUCCCCGCAGACCCUUUCUCUGGCAUCUCCCCCAAGUCUUCAAGUGCUUGGGGUCAGUAUGGGGUCUUCACCGCCCCUCAGCAUCCAAGGACAGAGGCUGAUGGAGAUACGUAGGUCUCUGGGCUGUUUCUGAUCCCAUGUAACAUGGAGAAGACUUUUUAUGCCCAUAAGCUCCUGAGUGAGCUGUUAAGCAGGUGACGGCUUCAACGGAACCAUCAUUAAUUCAUUAAACGUCCGUUUUCAGACAGACCUAAAAAUGGAACAUUUAGGUCUUCUGUUGUGUGGAAUCCUAGCCAGGUUCAUAAACACAACGAAGUGUUUUUCCCUUGCUCCAUAAAAUUAAGGACUUUCUGGUAUGUCCAAUUCUGUCUACCAAACACACUGUCUUCAAUUUCCAUGAAAUAAUUUCAAGCAAAAUUCGAUUUUAGUGUUUUGGUUUUUUUUAACGAAGUGAAGGCGCUCAGUGAAGGAAUGGACAUAACAAUACACCAAGAAGAAUUUUUGUAAUUCCGGAGGAAUCAGAAUUCAGCGGAGUCCGCAGUGAAGAGCCACACAGACUCAGCGAUGCGGGCAAAGACAACGCGCAACAGAAAAUCACUUCUGCCAAGUCUGUCGGGAGCGUUCCAGUGACACGAUACCACCUCAUCGCAGGAGGAGUUCUUCAGCCCCAUCCUUCAGCCCCGGGAAACGUGAGCAUGACCAGAAGAGCACAGAUGCAAUAUUCUCAUUCUCCGGAAGGACCGGCGCGGGGACACGCCAUAAACCACAGCAUGAGACACGUAGGUCUAAGCAAGUGAUGUGGUUCUCCCUGAAGACAAGACCCCACCUUUUCAUAGCUGCAGAGGUAGGACUAGGCCUAUGAAGUAGCUGCCUCGCAUUCUUUCCAACAGCGGUGGGAGACUGGCGCCUGAGAACGAAAACUCCUUACUCCUCCAGGGACAGCAGACUCACACAAAUACCUCCAAAUGCAGCCCCAAAUAGCACAUCUUUGUGUUCUAAUCACAAGUUUUCUUACGAGUCUCACAGCAUCUUCCAGCCAGCUUACGAUGCCGUGAAGGUGUUCACAGUAUAUAAAGGAAUAUGUCCAAAUCCCGCCCUGGCACCUCUCCACAUUUUGGGCUGGUGCUGCUUCUCAAACCCCCUCCAGGCUUUCCCUGGUUUUCCCUGGUUUUCAUCCACACUCCUGUUAAUUAAGAUGAAUUUCAUGGCUGCCGUAGAAGGUCUCAAGAAAUUCUUGGCCACGGUGAUCAGAGCUGUUGGCAGGAAAAUGAAAAGAAAACCCACACUUGAUUUUGUGAUUUUGCAUGAAGUGGAAUGAUUAUGUAAUUUAACAGUCAAACUGAGAUUGAAAGAUUGAAAAGGGAGGAGGAUCUUUGCAUACGUUCAUGGGCACAGGUGUAAACUGGGAUCACGCCAGGCAAGCCAGGGCAUAGGGUCACCUCACCAAGACCGGAAAAGGCAAUGAAAAUGUGGCGUAUGUAUAGAUACACUGGAAUACUAUUUAGCGAUAAAGUGGACUGAAAUUCUGAUACCAGCAACAACAUGGAUGAACCUCAAAAACAUGAUAUUAAGUGAAAGAAGCCAGACACAAAAGACCACACAUUACAGGACUCCAUCAGUAUGAAAUGUCCAGAAUAGUUAAAUCCAAAGAGACAGAAAAAUCAGUGGUUUCCUAGCCCUGCGGAGAAUGGGGGUAUUUCCUUGGAGUCAGCGUGGAAUUUCCUUUCAGGGUGAUGAAAAAAUUCUGAAACUUUGAUGGUGGUGAUGGUUGCACAACACGGUGAAUCUAUUAAAUGCCACUGAAUUGUUGUCUUUGAUCUGUUGAUUUUCAGUUAUGUGAAUUUCACCUGCAUAAAAAUAAAAAGGAAGUGUCUGCCAUGAUGAGUUCAGAAACGUCAAAUUCACUUUAAUGUAUCCAAAUAACCCUCAUCCACCUGGGAUGUCCUGAAGAACUCAAGCUGGGAGUCUUUGCCUCUCAGUAUCAGUAUGCCUCCAUUGUUUCCUUUAUAUCUUCCGAGGGUGUCUGUGGACACCCAGAAGUGAUUUUUUGCCUCAUCCGGCAACAUCCUACCCUUCAUGAUCACACAGCAGAAGCAAUCAUCCCUCUGUAAAUGCUGCCGCUCAGGGAGACACCCGCUCCCUGCACAGAACCCCUGUUACUUUCUUUCCACCCUAUUGGGCUCAAGGUCUUUGGAGAUGCUGGCCCAGGAGGUCUCACAGAGCUGUGGUUCAAGACACAUGUGCUCACUCAUCCUGAGCUGAACCAAUGAAAUCCUGACGCGGAGAGGAAAAAAAAAAAUCAAACUUGCAUAGAAUCCCUGGUAGGAGACAUCACAUCCCAACAAUAACAUCCACCAGCACCGAUUUGUGAAAAAUGAAAUAUUGGCUGUUGGAGGCUGGAUGUUUUCUCUCUCACCACUUCCAUCGACCAUGUCGAUCAGCUGAGAGAUCUUAGGAGCAAAACAAAAAAACAAAAAAAAGUGCAACUCAAUCUUUCCACCGUGAGAUGGGUGCAUGUGUCAUUUUGUGGCGGGUGGAGAGCCAUCUAGUGUGGCAAUCACAGCUUUGGCAAUGCUCAGCUCCCCGCUGCCGAGUGCAGAAGAUGUCACUCAUUCUUCUUCCAUGAAACGCGCCUCUGCAGUCAAGCUGUUGGAAAGGCCAAAGUGGAAAGAACCUCUGAGUGGGUUGGCUUUGCUGUUUCCCGGGUGCCAGCCCUUGUGUGUAUUGUAAUUUUUUUUCUUUUUUGCAGGCAUGCGUUCAGCACCCUUUGGGAAAGGGAGAGGUACACACAGCUCCCUUCCAUUAGCUGCGAUUCUGGAUGUCCACAGAAAACACAGGUGUUCGUACAAAAGACAGAAACCAUCCCAAUGAAAUUCAGGCAAUAUUUCCUCUCCAAAGAGUUCAUUUUCUGAACCAAAACUUAUAUAUAUACACACACACACACACACACACACAUACAUAUACAUACAUACAUAUGUGUGUGUGUAUGUAUGUGUGUAUAUAUAUAUAUAUCCGUAAAAGCAUUCAAUGUCAAAAUACUAUCAGCACUUUUGCCUCACAGAAGAGUAGAGAGAAGGGAAAACUUGUUUAAGCAACACGUGUAAUCAAGGAUGUGACAUGGCUUGGCUGAGAGUCUUACCAGAUGCCAUGAUGUUAUGAUACAUGGAACACAAUGUCUUGUUUUGGUUUUUUCUUAAACUACAUUCAUAGAUUUAACAUGAUAUAUGUUAGGAAUAUAUACACACACACACGCAUACAUAUGUAUAUAUAAUCUCACACAUGUUAGAAUAAUUCUGGCAAUGUGCUCCUGUUGGUUUCAGGACUUGUUACAAUGUGUUACUGCUCUCAAAUAGCCAACAAAAUUAAGAUAGUCUGCAGUUGAUGGGCGUUAAGGAUGACAUUGCUCCAAUAUUUAACCAAUGGCAAAUGUGUGCAAAACCGUGAGUUCAAAAGACAUUUCCGUCGCAAGUAAAUGAGUCAUCGGUAUGAAAACUAAAAUGUGGGGAAAUAUAGUCAAUAGUAGUGUAAUAUCUUCAUAUGAUGACAGAUGGUAACCAGAUUUACCACAGUGAUCAUUUUGAAAUGCUUAGAAAUACCAGGUCAGUAUUGCUGGGUACCAGGAACUCAUGUUGUAGCUCAGUUAUAUUUCAAAAACAAACAAAUAUACAAACCCAUAGAAGAAUUAGAUGAAGGCAGUCAAAAGGCACCAAAAUUCCAGUUAUGAGAUAAGUAAGUACUAGGGAUGUCAUGUACAACAUGAUAAAGAUAAUAAGAUGAAAGUUGUUAAGAGACUCAAUCCUGUGGGUUCUCAUCACAAGGAAACAAUUUUUUUCCAUUAUUUUAAUUAUAUAUAUAUAUAUAUAUUUAAUUAUAUAUAGACUUCCUGUCAAUAAUAUCAAUAAAACUAGAAGGAAAAACGCUAAUUGGAAUAUAUGUUUUCUUACAAGGAAAUAUAAAUCACUAAAUUGGUUCCCCAAGAAGGGGCAGGGUUUCAGAAAGGGGAGAAGAAACAGAAAAGAGAAAAAGGAUGGAAGAAGAAAUUCAUUUGACUUACAAAGUUUUAAGGCGAGAAAAUUAGGGAGUCGUAUAACGGUUGAGAGAGGCUGGGCCUUGCCUGUGGCUGUUUAGAAGUCACCUUGGUGUGACUCGCCAGUUGUUCUGCCAAAGACGAGGAUGAAUCGUCUCAGCGAGCAAGUCUUUUUUUCUUGAGUGUGUCUAGUAUUAUUUUCAGAUAAGCAGACCCAGUGUACAUGGCGGGGCUGCGGAACGUGCCCUUGGGAGACUGUGAGCUGGAUUUCAGGAAGAGCCUAAGAAGAUUCAGCAUUUCCCUCAGGAUACCCCCAGGAGAGCAUCCACAGGCCUGGAAGCACUUAACCACCCCUUGCUUACUUGAGAAAAUUCAGAAAGGAUUAUUGAAACAGAUUGGAAUGUUGAACGAAACUUAUAAAUGUUCCUAAGCUGUGUUCAUUAACUGAAAAAGAUGCUGAAACAGGACAAAUGAUGAGCUGGGAAUGUAGCUAGGGUAGCACUCCUCCACCCCCAGAGGGGAGAGACGUUGUGAAUAUUUAUGACAACAGAAAAUGCUGGACAUUGACAACCAAGAAAGUGCAAGAGAGAAGUUGUCAAAGGGAAAUGUUUUAAUUUUCUUGGAGGGCUGAAAAAUACCAGAGGCGAGGAGGAG